rnacentral:sRNA from 1 species
AAUCGGGAAAUCGGGAAAUCGGGAAUUCGAGAAAUCGAGAAAGCGAAAACGCGAAAUCGAGAAAUCUAUUUCAUUUCCCGUUUUCGUUAUCGCUUUCGCGUUUUCGCGUUUUUGCUUUCUUAAUUUCUCGAUUUCGCGUUUUCGCUUUCUCUAUUUCUCGAUUUCCCGAUUUCGCUUUCUCUAUUU